ensembl:lncRNA
AGGUAAGUCUCUGUUCCUGCUUUUAACGCUAUUGUCUUGGAAAAAGUCAUGUAUAUGAGGCAAUCACUCUGAAAGUUUUCAAGAGCAGCAGGUAAGCUUGGCAAAUCCUUUCUUUAUACUCUUUCCAGCCCAUAUCCACACUUGCAUUUUGAAACGUUGCAGAUCAAAUUAAUGGAAUUCUUCUGCAUUACUUAUCUCAUCUGAACCACGGUCUCCUUGAUCCAUUUGAACAGAAUUGUGGUGAGAUACUUGUCAUUCGAUAAAUAUUUACUGGGUAGCCAAUAUGUUCCUGGCACUGGGGGAAGGUGGUUAGCAAAACAGACAAGGUUCUUGUCCUCAUUUUUAAGCUUUAUGCUGAAAAUAUGCCUUUUCUCUUUUAUUUUCUAUCAGAAAUACCAUUUUGGGAACCUAAAUAAUUGCUUAAAAAAGAAUUGAGGAAUGUAAGCGGGUUCACUACAUUUCCCUCCUCAGCUUACUUCCUUCUAAUUUAAAAAAGGACAGAGAACAAUAUAAUGAAAAUUUAUUUUUAUUUUUGCUUCACAGCAGGAAAAAGUAACUAAAAAGAAAGCUUAUCAUCAAUGUUCCCAUCAGGCAGUCCCAGGUGUCUUCUGGUUGAGUAUGUGUGAUUCUUCAAACUUUUCUUCCUCCCUCUCUUUGAAUCACAUAACACAACAAUAAUGUACAGCUCAAAUAGAUGGAGAAACUAAGCAGAAAGCUUUAUAACAAUUGGAAUUUAGAGUUGAAAGGGACCUUUGAGAGCAUCUAGUCCAGCCACCUCUUUUUUUAACAAAGAAAAAGAAAACUCCGAAAGACAAUGACUUUCUCAAGCGUUUGCAGUGAAUUAUAGCAGAUCCCAGACCAAAAAAAGUCUUCAGACAACCAGUCCAGUGCUCCUUCCUCUACACUACAUUGUUCCUGACAGCUACUCUUUUCAUUUAUUCAUUCCACACAAACACUGUUUUUUCUACUGUGUCUAGCAUGCCUUUGAGUCACUGUGGAUAAAAUAACAAAAAUCCAGUCCCUACUGUUAAGAACCUCACAGCCUAGAGACGGAGACUACCUGUCUUAGGGCAAUUUGAUAAAUAUUAUAAUAGGAGAUGGCAUAGUUUAUAUGGGAGCCAAAUAACGAGCAUCUGACAUACAGUGGGAGAACUAGCGAAGGCUCCCUGAAAGAGGAGAAACUCACUCUGUGUCUUAGAAAAGGUAGAUAAGUAGUGAUUAUAUACAUGAGAAUAAAGGAUGAUAUUCCAGACAGAGGGAACAAAUGUGCAAGGACUCAGAGUAUGAGAUUGCAUGGCAGAGCACACAGGACGUAGGGUCUGAUGGGCAUAUGAAAGAGGAAAUGCAAAAGGUAGGUGGGGGCUGGCUCAUCAAGGGUCUUGGAUGCUUUGCAAAGGAAUUUUUUUUCCUAAUGGUUUUAAAGAUCUUUUGAAAAAUUUUCAGUAGGGAGUGAUGGUGGUACGUGUGUGUUAAAUGAUUAAAUCUUCAUUGCCAAGAGCUUAUUGCUGUAGCAGUGUAGAGAACAGAGGUUGAUGGGACUCGGGUAGAGAGACCAGAGAGAAAAUAGUUGUAAUUCAAACAAGUGAUGAUAAACAUUCAAUCUAAUCUCACCCUUAUUACUCAUAUUGACCCAAAGAAAAUGUGGC